GACGAACGCUGGCGGCGUGCUUAACACAUGCAAGUCGAGCGGUAAGGCCCUUUCGGGGGUACACGAGCGGCGAACGGGUGAGUAACACGUGGGUGACCUGCCCUCAGCUCUGGGAUAAGCCCGGGAAACUGGGUCUAAUACCGGAUAUGACUCCAUGACGCAUGUUGUGGGGUGGAAAGCCUUGUGCGGCUGAGGAUGGGCCCGCGGCCUAUCAGCUUGUUGGUGGGGUGAUGGCCUACCAAGGCGACGACGGGUAGCCGGCCUGAGAGGGCGACCGGCCACACUGGGACUGAGAUACGGCCCAGACUCCUACGGGAGGCAGCAGUGGGGAAUCUUGCGCAAUGGGCGAAAGCCUGACGCAGCGACGCCGCGUGAGGGAUGACGGCCUGGUGUAC
rnacentral:rRNA from 1 species